rnacentral:piRNA from 1 species
UGAUGCUCGUCCUAGCUAUUGCUUUUUUUU